AAUGAUUUGGAUGUUGAUAAUUUUGAUGAGAGUACAAGUAUUGUUAUUGAGCAAGAGUCAGCAGCCACACAUUCAACAAUUUCAAGUGAUUCAGAAGUAGAACAUUAUGAUACUCAAGAUCUAGCUGGAUGAGCAAUUGAUGAUAUUGUUUCUCAUUCUGCCAUUCAUUGUUUAUCAAACUUUCAUGCUUGUCUGAACUUUUAUUUUAUCCUUUAGGUGGAAGUUGUAACUUUUAAAGUUUGAGACUUUUUAUGAUUGGUGGCUAUUUUUUUGAUUUUAUUAGGCUUUGAUUGUUUGUGACUCUAAGUGAAGUUGUGUAAUUGAAUAUAGUUGGUAUUA